rnacentral:rRNA from 1 species
GACGAACGCUGGCGGCGUGCUUAACACAUGCAAGUCGAACGGAAAGGCCCCUUUUGGGGUACUCGAGUGGCGAACGGGUGAGUAACACGUGCGUAACCUGCCCUUGCCUUCGGGAUAACUUCAGGAAACUGGGGCUAAUACCGGAUAGGAAUCCUUUCUGCAUGGUGGGGGUUGGAAAGCUUCGGCGGUUUUGGAUGGACUCGCGGCUGAUCAGCUUGUUGGUGGGGUGGUGGCUUACCAAGGCUUUGACGGGUAGCCGGCAUGAGUGGGCGACCGGCCAAAGUGGGACUGAGUGAAGGACCAGCGGCCUACGGGAGGCAGAAGGGGGGAAGAGGGCAGAAGGCGCGGAAGCCGGAGGCAGCAACGCGGAGGGCGGGAUGAUGGACUGCGGGUUGUAAACCGCUUUCGCCUGGGACGAAGCGUGAGUGACGGUAAGGGGAAAAGAAGAACCGGCUAACUACGUG